GCGGGCUUCCCGAGGGCCCCGGGGCGGAGGCCGGAGGCGGGAGGCCGGCGGGCGGGGACGACUCCCUGUUGCUUCCGCCUCCCGGGGCCCGCCCUGCGGCCUGGCCGCGGGGACCGUGCCCCUUGGGGAGCCUCGGACCCGCGGCCCGGCUCCUCACCCCACCCCCCCAACCCCCACCCCCCUCACGCUCCCAAACUUUUGUCUCCCUCCGGAAGGCCCGAUGGCGGCGCGGGACCCGCCAGACGGGCCUGCGUCGCGCCCUGGUGCUGGGCCCGUCGCCACGCGUGGCCGCUCCUGGUUUGCAGGUGCCACACGGGGCCGAGUCGUGCCUCAGGUGGCUGCCCAGCUUCGCUCAGCUUUUGUGCGCUGGGGUGAAGGCAAAUCUACUCUGUCCUUCUGUCCUGCCCUGUGCCCAGGAGGCCAGUGGCUGUCUUCACUGGACCUUCACCAACAGGACAGCCUGCUUCGGGUUGAAGUCGGCUGAGAGCCUGGGUGUGCCCUCCUCCCCUCCUGCCUGGCCUCUACCGGGACCGUGUCUGUGUCCCUCUGUGAGGACAGGGCUUGUAGGCCUUCCUGUUCAGUUGUGACAACUGGUGUCAGGCUCCAAGUACGACUCCCUGCCUCUUUAGGCUGAGGUGCUGUCCCUGGACAGCAGCACCCCUGGCUGGGUAACAGAACCGUGACGGUGCCACGGCAAAUGUCUCUCCCUCACACUGUCUCCUAAGUCUCUUAAGCCCCCUGCUUCCUGCCAGGACCUUGAUGGCUGAGCCAGAUUUUGACUAGCCUUCUGCCUUGCAAACAGUGACAUUUGGAUGGAGGAUGUGCGGGCACAAGCAGACGUCUUGCAGGGCUGCUGGCAAAGGCUGCCCAUCUCUCAGGAGGGUCUGUUUUAGUCAACGGUGCAGACACAUGCCCUCUGUCCUGGCUGGUGGAAACCCAUCCUGCUCCAGGGCCCUGUCCCCGCAUGCCGAGGGGCAAACCCCGGGCCCUAUCAGCCAUUCCUUGCUGUGAGUGCUUUAAAACAAGUCAAAGCCAAUGAGUCCUGCUGUGGGGGAAACGGCUGCUCACUCUUAAAAAGGCACAUAAAGAGGAAGCCCUCCUCACAUCUGGCCAGGUCCCAUGUCUGGGACGGGGCCCCCCUCAUGUCUGGCCGGGUCCCACGUCCGGGACAGGAGGUCACUUGAGGAACUUCGUCACCGUGGGGAUGACAGCACGGGAAGAUGGGAGGAAGCAUGGGUCCCCGAUGACACCAUUGGGCCAUUAACCAAUCCUCCUGCAGCUGUGAGCAUCUUAAUUUAAAACCUAUGGAAACAGAUCAGUUAGGACUCUAUAAAAGGAACAGAAAAUCCAAGUCCCCUGUGAACCAGUUACCUCUGUACGACAAAUCUCUACAAACUUGGGGGCUUUGACAGUAAGUGUUUAUUUCUCAGGACCCCGUGGUUUGGUGGGAUGGCUCCUUGGUGCUGACAGGGACUGUUCGUGCACCUGCAUUCUCUGGGGGACUCCGCUGGGCCUGGAAGGUUCUGGAAGGUUCAGGGGCUUCAGUCAUGUCCAGUGUCUCAGCCUGGGGGAUGAAAAGCUGGGAGCGGGCUUACCUCUGUUGCUCCACACGGUUUCUCAUCAGUCUAGCCUCUGCUUCCUUACGCGGCAGCUGGAAACCGAGAGGGCCAAAGUAGACGUUAUACAGCCCCUGAAAGCCGGGACACUGCUUCUGCCACAUUCUCUCAGGGAAAGUAGGUUCCAAAACUGGCCCAAAUCCAAGGAGAGGAGUAGACUAGAUUUCACAUCUUGGUUGGAGGAGGGCCUGGCAGCAUGAGAGGAGAGAACUGUGUGUGGUCAUCUUGGAAAUCGUCUGCACAGACUGACUUAAAGAGUCGUGGGAAGUAUUGCCAGGAUCACGGCCAGUCCCUAGUGAAAUGGCAGCGGGAAUAUGUGUCUCUCCGUUCCCACUGGGCAGAGAGAAUCUUGGACUCUGACUGGGUCGGCUAAGUGCACAUCCCUGGAUGGUAGAAUGCCGGUAGAUGGUCGGCAUAGGCCUGGAUUUAGUGCAGAUCUUUGCUGACUGGCGAGCACCCGAGGAGAAUGGAGGGAUCUUACUCAUCGUCAGGUCAUGGGGACCCCCGCUGCCAACCCCCACAGCAUGGCUGCCUCACCACGGCAAGUGCUGUCUGGUGAGAGCGGGGACAAAGCAGGAGGCAAACUCCAGAACUGAAGUCAAACUGCGGGUUCGCCUCUGGAUGCUCACCCACACCUGUGCACAGACUCGCGAACACCUGCUGUGCGUCCCUCCCCUCCACCUUGGAGAUGCUUCCGAUGGUAACCAGGGGUCUUGGGUUCAUUGACUUCUAAGUGAGAAAAACUUUGGGGAAAUAAGAAUGGGGGGGGGGCGAAAAAGUGGAACCUUCCAGGAAAGAUGGUUCAGAACUGUUACCUUUCUCUCCAACGACAAAGCUGAAGCCCAAACUGACUACUGAAGACAUGGGACAGGGAAAAUAUGUGACUAGUAUGAGUGCCAAUCGCAAAGAAUUAUCAAGAUUUCAUCUUCUGGGCAACGCUGGUGUGAGCUCUGCCGUGAAAACCAUCACCGAGUCCUGGGACUCCUGUGCUCACCAGGUCUGGCUGCGGGGUCCCCACGCUCGCCCAUCCUCAGACACCACCCGCUCUCUGACUCCUGUCCUUGACAGGAAAAAAAAAAAAGAAGCUAAGUUCUGUGGAGCUUGAAAUUACCAAGAAAGUCAUGAAAAUAAUUUGUCGUCCUCAUUUAUUUGAACAAAAGCUUAAAGAUGCUGCUGACGACAGAAAUAAAAUCCAGGGCUUUGAGAUUGGAGCUGGACAAUAAUUCGGGUGGAGCGUCGCUCAGAGCAGCUGCCCCGUCCAGGUGCUUUGCCGGCACAGGACAGCGUGUCGCCGCGCCUUUAUUUGUGGGCGUGUUCCAGAAAACAGGGAAAGUGCUCUUUCUUGUCCCUCUCUCUCUGUAAAGAGAAAGAUGAAAUGGUUUUCCUUAAGGGGAUGCAUGGCCUUAUUCCCCAGCUUGCUGCAUCCAGGGAGGAGACCCUAAGGAGCCCCAGCACAUUCCCUGGUGAGUCCAGGUUGCGGCAACUGGGAGCCCUGCCCUGCCUCACAGCCUGGGCGCCUGCCCCCUUACCACCAGUGUUGCCCCAGGCCCCUCCACUCGUGACCUCUGUACCAUCACAUGACCUGGCCAACCAGUUGGGGCCUCCUCAGGUCCACCACAGUGGUCCUCGCGUGGGAGAAGGGCAAGCGUGUGCGUGUCUGAGAGGCUGAGCCCCUGGCCAAGAGCCGCUGCCCAGAACAAAGCAGGACACCUCUGGCCAGCACUCCCAACAAGGUCAAGAUGUAUGUGUGUCCAGGGCUGUCUGCAGAGGGGAGAGUCCUCACACCGGAACAGCGGUCACACCGUCUCUGCCUCAGACCCGAGUGUCCUGUGGGGAAAGUGCUGGGCUGGGUCCAAAACAGCAUGCACCUGGAACAGAAGAGGAAAGGCAAAGAUCGGUUGGUUUCCUUCCGUGUAACCUGGCGGACGCACAUCAGGUAUAAGUGGAGACAGGCUACCAAUUUGGGACUGAAAUGAUCAAUUUCUGGCCUAACAGAGCAGGAAGCAGACUGUGUGGCUCUGUUGGUGUGACGUCUCUUAGGAAAAGGAAGUCCUUGAAGAAUCUGCAUCCCGAGAGGCUGUGAGGAUGGAUGUUUUCUUCCAUCUGCUUUGGAAGCCUUCAGAGAAUGACCCAGAACUCCAGGAUCCUGAGCAAACCCCUCCCAGGUCCUGCUGGCUGGACUAAGAAUCAAAUUGACAUGAGACAUUAACAGGAGAAAAUCAAAUUUAAUGGGCAUGUGUAUGAGGAAUGCACACAGACCUGGAAAUUCUGAAGACAGUAGGGCAAACUGAGGUGUGUGUGUCAUCGGGAACGCGAGGGUCUGGGGCCGCUGGAGAAAGGAACCCACCUCGCAGGGUGGAAAGAGGACAGAUGUUCGGCAAUUAGACGUCUGUCCUGCCGUACAGAUGGCUCACCCGGAUAACAUUCAUCUCUGCUAAUAGUUCUUAUUCUGGGAAAGGCCCCCCGUUUAGAGUCUCCCGUGGAGUUAAGGGAGGCUCGGAAGUUUCUCCUGAGCCCACAGGGUCUCCGUUGCCCUCAGCUGGGAUCUCGGUGCCACAGCGGUCCUGGGGUCAGCCUGUCCUCAGCCCUGCACCCUGAGGCUGUCCGGGAGCCUGAGGUGAUGUCAGCCUUUAAGAUACCAAUAGAUUAUUUUUGCUCCCUCCCUGGUAAAAUUAGAAACUUAAUUAAAAUGUCAUCAAGUGAGGCCGCGAAUUCCACAUCCCGGAUCUGAAAUAUGCACAAUAGAACCUACCGCUUGCAUUAGUUUCCGCCCUUUAAAACACUUUUCUCAGCUGCUCCAGGGGGACGUUUGCCGGGUGGGGAAGGCAACGUCGCGGAGAAUGUCUUCCAUGCUGGUGACAAAGACACUCCUUCACCUGCUAGGUCCCACGUGAGUCUCGGUGGGAACGCCACCCACACCCCAUCCUUCACUGUCUCAGCAGAUCUGGGACCUGCUGUCGCGUCUGCGGGAUUGCCGGACUAGCUUCUGUGUCUCCCGUUUGGGCUCUGAUUCUCCGUCGUUCAGAAUUCCACCUAAAGUAAAAACAAAACAAACAAACAAAAAAAGAACUUCUUGCUGUGUUUAUCUUGAGGAUUUGGGAACUGUGUGAGGACAGACCAGGGCCAGAUGCAGCUGACCACUGGCCUGUAAUGAGGGUAGCUCAGAACCUCCGACGCUUCUCGAACCCCAGCGACCAGAGGUCCCUCAUCACACGUGUGUCUUCUGUCUCUGCCCUGCCUCCCCUUCCCUUCCUUCACCCUCUCUUCCCACCCCUCCUCACCCGCCUGCCAUGGCUGUGAGCUGGGGAUGGCUGUGUGGACCUCAGCUCAUGGGGGAGAGAGGAGGGUUCCCUUGGCUCGUCCUGAUGGCCACGGCAGGAGGAUCAAUACCGCCCAGAGUCCCUAAUGGCAGAGAAAGGGACUGCUAAUAGCUCUGUGGCGUCUUGGUCUAACUGAGUCUCACGUGGCUGCUGAGGGUCUAUUUAUAAACCUUAUUGUUUGUUAUAUUACAAUCAUGGAGUCGUUUUACUUUUGUGAAUUUUACAAUAAAGAAUUUGAUCCUAUCACCCAA